rfam:Pongo abelii chromosome 12.
ACCUGUGGCCAUACUACCCUGAACUUACCUGAUCUCAUCAGACCUCAGAAGCUAAGCAGGGUAGUGCUUGGCUAGCACUUAGAUGGGAAAAUGAUUAAGUGAUCGAUGGCAUACAGCCA